rnacentral:lncRNA from 1 species
UGGAAUUGCCUGGUGCUACUUGGUUUGGCUCAAUGUUGAUAGUAAUUGCAAGUUCCAGACCUUUUGUUGGAUAAAAGACAGGAGAAAGGUCUUCCCAACCCUUUCUCCUAUUGUUUUUCAUCAUGGAGGGUCUUUGGGCAUGGGAGUGUGAAGGAAGUGAGGCUGUAAUCAAGCUAAUCCCCACCCUAGCAAGGUGAUUCCAAAUUCAAGC